UUCAGUGUAGUGUAGUGGUUCGUGCAUUGGACUAUGACUCUGGAGACCAGGGUUCGAAUCCCAGCUCGGCCA